GACCUCUUGAUCUUACCACAGGCUGUGUUCUUACACUGUGUAGAAAGAGGAGGUUGAGUAAAUUUACGCCAUAUACACCUCUAUGCCUCAGCCUAGGCCCUGUGUCUGGUCUGGAUUGUGAAUGGGAAGACAUGG